GAAAAGAAAGGAGCCAAUGGUAGGUUUAUUUUGAUAAUAUAAAUUCAAUACCGAGUAUUAAAACUGUUGCAUUAUUUCAGAUAGAAGUCUCAAAAGUUGUAUGGUCCAAAUUUCGAAAAAAAUUUCCACCUUGUAAAAACGCUGUUAAAUCAUCGCAUAUAUGUAUUUAUGAGGCUGUACGACAUGUCAUACAUUAAUUAUUUCACCUGUUUUGACCAGAAUUAUUUGAUUUUAUAUUGGUGUUUACAAACAACCGUCACUCGGCCAUUUCAAAUAACAGUCAUAUGACCAGUUCAAACUUUCAGAUCAUUGGUCGUCUUAUCUGUGUAAAGCUGAGUAUUUUGUUACAACCAUACCUUGCCAUAAGUUUAAGAGAAAUAAAAUUAUCAAAUACUUAGUAGUAAUUCAUUGUUUUACACUCUUUCAGUAUUAAAGUUAAACAGAAUUGUGCAUCAGAGUUAUAUAGACCUACAUCGUGUUGGUAUUCCCCUGACGUGCGUGGGGCUAUUUAUAGAUGCUUAAACAAACUAUGUAUAAUAUAACCACUAUAUUUACGUUUGAAAUAAUCUUCUCACUGUUUUCUUUUACAUGCAAAUGUUUUCACGCAUUUAAUUAAGGGAAAGUUCAUAACUUUAAAAACUGAUUAAUCUGCUUUAAUGUAACUCUGUACAUAUGAUUUAAAUAUAUAUAUGUGUGUGUAUAUAUAUGUAUACGUGUAUAUAUAUAUGUAUGUAUGUAUGUAUGUGUGUGUAUAUGUAUGUAUGUGUGUGUGUAUAUACAUAAUUAAAAAAGAAAUACAUCCAAUCCAAUGGGCUCUUGGCACCAUAGGUGAGGAAUAAGUGGGAAUAUCCUAGGAUAUUUUAUCCCAACCAAAAUUGUAUGCUUCCAAAUAAAAUAUAUAUAUAUAUAUAUAUAGUAAAAAAAAACCAAAAAAAAAAAACCUCUGUACAAAAAUGAUACAUGAACACCGGAUCAUACAGCUUUAAUAUUUCCGAUUUGUUUUUAUUAAUUUUCAGCUUAACUCUGAAGAUUUACAGUCCCACUUGUCAUCACUGGUAGACAUGACUGCAAUGCCAUGGUUCUUCAACAAAAGGUUCUUGUCGUUUAGGAGUGAUUGUGAACAGUUAGCUGAAUGCUUGAAUAAAUAUAUAACAUUUCUCAAUUGUCAGAAAGAAACCACUGCUAAGAAUCACGCUUCUUUGGAACCUGUCAGAUCCUUGUCAGACCACUGGGCAAUUAAAACUAUUGAGUUGACCAGGAAAGUCUCAAAUUACAGAAAACUUUAUGAGGAUUUAAAUGUGCUGGAUUUGUAUCAACCAUUAUUUUUGUACCCUUAUGAACCAAGAGAUCGCUUUGAGAGAAAGCACUGAUAUGAGAGACUUGCAGUAUCCUGUAAUGUCAAGCUUUACACGUUACAUGGAAAUUAUUUUGGCAAUUUUCAUUUUCUAUGGAAGUGUGAGACUAAAACACGUGACGAAAUGGACCUACGAGCAAUUGAUUUCAUUAAAAAAGACCUUCCACAUUUUCCCAUUAGAGCUAUGCGCCAAGAAUUCAUUGUUCACUAUGCAUAUGCGUGCAAGAUAAAGCCAGCGAUAUUGAGAAAUGCCUACCAUUUCCUGACCCAAGAUUCUUCAGCAGCAGAGCACAGCAAGCAGGCAGAAGUGGAUGAAAGAGUAGUUGACUUUCUCAUGAAUACAGAUGACCCCAUGUUAUUUUAUGACUUGCGAAGGAAUAAUGGUCGUCCAAAAGAUGAAACACUUAAACCUUUUUGGACUGAACUACUAAGAUACUUGGAUGAAGUUGCUGUAGUCCAUGACAGGCGACAGAGUGCUCAUAUGUAUUUACCUUUAGCUACAUCUGUUAAAAGUCUGGUUGACCUGAUCAGAGAAAGGCUAGGCCCAAAUGCAAGAUGCCCAUCUGUUUCCUGGCUGCGUUCAAAUUUUUGGCCCGCAAAUGCAUUCAGAAAUACUGCAAUAAAUUAUACUGGUGAAUUCAAAGUUCGGUAUGUUGUGCAGCAAAGAAUCCUAAGACAAAAACAUCCAGACUCUCAAUUUGCGUUCCAACAGUUUCUGAUGUUGAAAGAAAUGGCUGUUAGACUUAAAAAUCAUUGCAACAUGGUUUGUUUAGACGACAAGUCUAUAAUUCCUAUUGGAGAGCCGGGUAAACCAGUUUCUACAGGAGUACGCCCACACAACAGAGCCCUUGUACCAGAUGGUGUGAAAAUUGCAGGUCUUCAUCAUGACUUUCAUAUACAUGGUGCUGUUCCAUCUGUGUUAUUUCAUGUGAACAUACCAGAAAAUGUUGCAGAUUCAUUUUAUGAUGGAACAUUUCAUGUCACCGUUAAAGACAAAGUAUUUCAGCCCUCAAGUGCACAUAGACAUAUGGUUGAAUCUAUCAAAAUUCUUCGCAGUGUGAAUAGUGAAGAUGGUGUCAACCUUGAGAAACCAAUUCUGUUUGUAUACACAGAUGGUGGACCUGACCAUAGGACAAAUUUCUAGAGUGUGCAGUUUGCUUACAUUCUACUUUUCUUUGCUUUGGAUCUUGAUAUGCUCAUUGCUGCUAGAACAGCCCCUUCCAAUAGUUAUGCAAAUCCUGCAGAAAGGUCGAUGAGCUUACUGAACUUGGCACUGCAACACUGUAGUUUCCAGAGAGAGGAGAUGGAUAAGUCUUUGGAAUUUCUGGUUAAAUCUCUUUCAACCAUGAAGAAGGUUAGGGAAGCUGCAAAGAAUGAUGGCGGUCUCAAGCAAGGUUUGAUGGAUUCUUGGAACCAGUUACAGCUCAGUUGAAACAACGCUUUAGUCGUCUUAAACUGCAUGAAGAGCCAGUACAAAUUCAUGAUGCUGCAAAUGAUGAUGAACUUCAAAGUAUUGCUGACAUUUCUAGUAUACUCUCUGAGGCAGAGGAGGAAGGGUUGGCCAUCUUUGAAAAACUGCAGUCCAAGGAUAAAGCCAAGAAAAAUGAUAAACUGAAGGACUUCAUCAGCCGUCAUUGUAGGGAAAGGCAAUAUACAUAUCAGAUUAAGAAAUGUCAGGUGGACUGCUGGUACUGCACACUAAAUCCCCCUAGAAUGUCAGUCGAAAAUUUUGCUUCAUUGAACUUGCUUCCAGAUCCAACCCUAAACAAGGUGAAUACCUACCAUUCAGUUCGCUGUAUGGUAUUAAGGAGACAACGGAUCAAGAUCGGUCAGGUGCAAAGGCAGGCAGUGACAAGGACAAAGAGAACAAGGAUAUUCUUGUUGGUUGUACGCAUGUUUGAUGAACUAAUUAUCAAAUUAUCCUAUAUCACAAGUGAAUUAAACACAAUGUGUUUGUUUAUACACUGUACUUUAUGUAUCUUUUAAAAACAUAAAUUUUGUUUUCAUCAUAGGCAAAGUUGGCAGUUUUAUUAUCUGCAGUGAAUGUGGAAAAAGAAGAGUGAUUUACUGCAAGGAGAGGUUAUCCACACCAACAUGUCGUUCCUUGGAUAGGGUCCAGGAGGAGUUAGUUUAUACUUGUGGUGCACCUCUUAUUCCUCAAGGCCACAAGUAUUUCAAAACAUUGAUUGUAAAAGAGGUUUUGGAUUGUGACUCUCCAGUUGAAAUCACUUACUAUGCAGUCACAUUGUGGAGAGUCAUUAGUCAUAGUGCCACAUACGUCUGAACAAAAAGACGACACCAUCUCCAAGAGGAACGAAAAUACAUCACCAUCAUCUCCGAGAGGGCCUACACCACCUCCAUAUUCUGAUCUGUAAAAGGUGCCUCCCAAACCUCCACAUAGUGUGCCACCAACACCACAUGAAGAUGUGCCACAACCACUACAGCAUGCACUACCACCACCACAUGCUCCCCUACCACCAGCACUAAGCCAAGCAGCACUACCACAGUAUGUGCCACCACCAUCAACACAUGCUCCCCUACCACCAGCACUAAGCCAAGCAGCACUACCACAGUAUGUGCCACCACCAUCAACACAUGCUCCCCUACCACCAGCACUAAGCCAAGCAGCACUACCACAGUAUGUGCCACCACCAUCAACACAUGCUCCCCUACCACCAGCACUAAGCCAAGCAGCACUACCACAGUAUGCGCCACCACCAUCAACACAUGCUCCCCUACCACCAGCACUAAGCCAAGCAGCACUACCACAGUAUGUGCCACCACCAUCAACACAUGCUCCCCUACCACCAGCACUAAGCCAAGCAGCACUACCACAGUAUGUGCCACCACCAUCAACACAUGCUCCCCUACCACCAGCACUAAGCCAAGCAGCACUAACACAUUAUGUGCCACCACCAUCAACACAUGCUCCCCUACCACCAGCACUAAGCCAAGCAGCACUAACACAUUAUGUGCCACCAACUUCAACACAUGCAAUACUGUCACCUCUACAGAGUCUGAGAGAAACACCUCAACGUCCAAUGCCCGAUUUAGGUCCCAUAAAGAAGCGACCAUUAUUACCACCGGCUAUACCAGAAAAGUUUUACUCCGAUUCAUGGGCCCCGGGUUUUCAAUUUGAAUCAGAGUCAUAUGGAGAAUUAUUGAAUUCAUCUACUUCAAUGCCAA